UACGUAGGGGGCCAAGCGUUGUCCGGAUUUAUUGGGCGUAAAGAGCUCGUAGGCGGUUUGUUGCGUCGGCUGUGAAAUCCCGAGGCUCAACCUCGGGUCUGCAGUCGAUACGAGCAAACUAGAGUGUUGCAGGGGAGACUGGAAUUCCUGGUGUAGCGGUGAAAUGCGCAGAUAUUAGGAAGAACACCGGUGGCGAAGGCAGCUCGCUGGGACGUAACUGACGCUGAGACGCGAAAAGCGUGGGGGAGCAAACAGGG
rnacentral:rRNA from 1 species